rnacentral:rRNA from 1 species
CGCACCGGGUGAAGUAACGCGUAAGUUAAUCUUACCCCUCCCCAUCUGGAAUAACUCCAGCGAAAGCUGUGCUAAUACGGGAUACGUUGAUUUUAUCAAGAAAAGGGGGCCUUUUGAUUUAAGCUACCGGGGGGAGGAGGAGGCUGCCCCACCAUUAGCCUAGUUGGUAGGGUAAUGGGCCUACCCAAGGCAACGAUGGAUAGCGGGGUCUGAGAGGAUGAUCCCGCCACACACUGGAACUGGAACCACGGACCAGACUCCCUACGGGAGGGCAGCAGUGAGGGAAUAAUUGCGCAAUGGGGGAAACCCCUGACGCAGCGACGCCGCGUGGAUGAUGAAGGCCUUCGGGUCGUAAANCCCUGUCAGGUGGAAAAGAAAUGCAGAUAUGUUUAAUAUCAUAUGUGCUUGACGGUACCACCAAAGGAAGCACCGGCUAACUCCGUGCCAGCAGCCGCGGUAAUACGGAGGGUGCAAGCGUUGUUCGGAAUUACUGGGCGUAAAGCGCGCGUAGGCGGCUAUCUAAGUCAGAUGUGAAAGUCCAUGGCUCAACCGUGGAAGUGCAUUUGAAACUGGGUAGCUUGAGUAUUGGAGGGGGUGGUGGAAUUCCCGGUGUAGAGGUGAAAUUCGUAGAUAUCGGGAGGAAUACCGGUGGCGAAGGCGACCACCCGGCCGAAUACUGACGCUGAGGUGCGAAAGCGUGGGGAGCGAAACAGGAUUAGAUACCCUGG